rnacentral:lncRNA from 1 species
UUUGACUUUGAAUUGAAUGAAUAAAGAGAUAAAACAAAGAUAAAAAUGAAGAAAUGAAAGCUAACUUUAAAUAAUUACAUCUUUUUUUCAAUUUUUAUGAUUCAAUCAUCGUCGAGUUGUGAAAAUAGAAACAAUUAAAAUUAAAACUUAACUUAAACAAUAGCAACAGCCAUCAGAAAACAAUCGAAUUACUUGGGGUUUAAAGGCAGCUGCGUUCCUUGGCAAACUUUCUUUUCAGCCUUUUGAAAGAAAAUCCUCUCUUUGGUCCUUAUUCUCAUACGUAAGCCGCAUCUACCCCAUCUCUAAAUCAGAUGGUUUUAAACC